AACGCAUAUUGCACUCUCUGGUAAUCCGGGGAGUAUGCCUGUUUGAGGGUCAGUAAAAAUAAAAAAUCUAUCAUGAAUCCUUUUUUUAAUUUAUUUUAUUAAAUCGGAACAUGGAAUUGGAUCUUUCAAAAAUUUCAUUAUUUUCGAUGAUCUUAAAUUUAUGUUAUAUGGCUAUAUAUAAACUGAACCAAAAAGAGCAAUUAUUUAUAAUUAAUCUCAUUUAGUGAUGUUUUAUUAAGCCAAAUAUGAUUUAUUUUUGAUAUUUAAUAUUAAAAUAAAUCAUAAACAUAUUUUAAAAAUGACCUCAAAUCAGGUAAGAGUACCCGCUGAACUUAA
rnacentral:misc_RNA from 1 species